rnacentral:rRNA from 1 species
AGAAUCAACGCUGGCGGCGUGCCUAACACAUGCAAGUCGAGCGGGCGUAGCAAUACGUCAGCGGCAGACGGGUGAGUAACGCGUGGGAACGUACCUUUUGGUUCGGAACAACCCAGGGAAACUUGGGCUAAUACCGGAUAAGCCCUUACGGGGAAAGAUUUAUCGCCGAAAGAUCGGCCCGCGUCUGAUUAGCUAGUUGGUGAGGUAAUGGCUCACCAAGGCGACGAUCAGUAGCUGGUCUGAGAGGAUGAUCAGCCACAUUGGGACUGAGACACGGCCCAAACUCCUACGGGAGGCAGCAGUGGGGAAUAUUGGACAAUGGGCGCAAGCCUGAUCCAGCCAUGCCGCGUGAGUGAUGAAGGCCCUAGGGUUGUAAAGCUCUUUUGUGCGGGAAGAUAAUGACGGUACCGCGAAGAAUAAGCCCCGGACUAACUUCGUGCCAGCAGCCGC